CUCCAGGACUGAGUCUGAGAAAUAAAAGUCUGUUAAAGCCCAGGCUGAGAUCGUGCCCAAUGACUGACUCACUGUUACCCAUUUCUACUCCAUACAUGUGGUCACAGGGACAAGGUCAGGCCUUCCUGCCUGCUUUAGACGUGUGUCAAACACUUUUUGAUCAGACAGGACCCUGGAGAUAUAGAGGCCAUGAUGGAGCACAGGAGAACUGUAGCAUUAGAAACGCUGUACCAGUUUCGGACAACAUGCUCAGGCUCAUGGGGCAGAAGUUAC
rnacentral:lncRNA from 1 species